rnacentral:rRNA from 1 species
AUUGAACGCUGGCGGCAGGCCUAACACAUGCAAGUCGGACGGUAGCACAGAGGAGCUUGCUCCUCGGGUGACGAGUGGCGGACGGGUGAGUAAUGUCUGGGGAUCUGCCCGAUAGAGGGGGAUAACCACUGGAAACGGUGGCUAAUACCGCAUAACGUCGCAAGACCAAAGAGGGGGACCUUCGGGCCUCUCACUAUCGGAUGAACCCAGAUGGGAUUAGCUAGUAGGCGGGGUAACGGCACACCUAGGCCACGAUCCCUAGCUGGUCUGAGAGGAUGACCGGCCACCCUGGAACGUGGACACGGUCCAGACUCCUACGGGAGGCAGCAGUGGGGAAUAUUGCACAAUGGGCGCAAGCCUGAUGCAGCCAUGCCGCGUGUAUGAAGAAGGCCUUCGGGUUGUAAAGUACUUUCAGCGGGGAGGAAGGCGAUGUGGUUAAUAACCGCGUCGAUUGACGUUACCCGCAGAAGAAGCACCGGCUAACUCCGUGCCAGCCGCCGCGGUAA